rnacentral:rRNA from 1 species
UACGGGGGGGCAAGCGUUGUUCGGAAUUACUGGGCGUAAAGGGUUCGUAGGUGGCUUGUUAAGUCAGACGUGAAAUCCCUCGGCUCAACCGGGGAACUGCGUCUGAGACUGAUGAGCUCGAGUGCAGGAGAGGAACGCGGAAUUCCAGGUGUAGAGGUGAAAUUCGUAGAUAUUCGCAAGAACACCAGUGGCGAAGGCGGCUCACUGGCCCGAUACUGACGCUGAGGCACGAAAGCGUGGGGAGCAAACAGG